UUAAAUUUCAGUUAUCGUUUAUUUGAUAAUACCUUACUACUUGGAUAACCGUGGUAAUUCUAGAGCUAAUACAUGCUGAAAUCCCGACUUCGGAAGGGAUGUGUUUAUUAGAUAAAAAACCAAUGCCCUUCGGGGUUUUUGGUGAUUCAUGAUAACUUUACGGAUCGCAUAGCCUUGCGCUGGCGACGGUUCAUUCAAAUUUCUGCCCUAUCAACUUUCGAUGGUAAUGUAUUGGCUUACCAUGGUUUCAACGGGUAACGGGGAAUUUACCCAAUCCCGACACGGGGAGGUAGUGACAAUAAAUACUGAUACAGGGCUCUUUUGGGUCUUGUAAUUGGAAUGAGUACAAUUUAAACCUCUUAACGAGGAACAAUUGGAGGGCAAGUCUGGUGCCAGCAGCCGCGGUAAUUCCAGCUCCAAUAGCGUAUAUUAAAGUUGUUGCAGUUAAAAAGCUCGUAGUUGAAACUUGGGUCUGGCUGGCGGGUCCGCCUCACCGCGUGCACUCGUCCGGCCGGGCCUUCCUUCUGAAGAACCUCAUGCCCUUUACUGGGCGUGUUGGGGAAUCAGGACUUUUACUUUGAAAAAUUAGAGUGUUCAAAGCAGGCCUUUGCUCGAAUACGUUACGAUGGAAUAAUAAAAUAGGGCGUGCGUUUCUAUUUUGUUGGUUUCUAGAGACGCCGCAAUGAUUAACAGGAACAGUCGGGGGCAUCAGUAUUCAGUUGUCAGAGGUGAAAUUCUUGGAUUUACUGAAGACUAACUACUGCGAAAGCAUUUGCCAAGGAUGUUUUCAUUAAGUGAACGAAAGUUAGGGGAUCGAAGACGAUCAGAUACCGUCGUAGUCUUAACCGUAAACUAUGCCGACUAGGGAUCGGGCGAUGUUCUUUUUCUGACUCGCUCGGCACCUUACGAGAAAUCAAAGUUUUUGGGUUCUGGGGGGAUUAUGGUCGCAAGGCUUA
rnacentral:rRNA from 1 species